CUUAAUUUUAUUGGCGGUUUACUAACCUUUCAUAGGAAUUUGUCUUAUUUGAUGGAUAACCCGCUUUUAUUAUUACCAAAUUUAUUUUUAUGUACGGCUGUUGAUUAAUUUUAAUUUAGAUAUUUUUAUUUUAAAUUUUUUAUCAUAUUUCAGGUCAAUGUGUAGAAUAUAGUUUGGUUUAAGAUGAGUUACUAUAUUAGUUUUUUCUUUUAUUUGAAAUUCAAUUAGGAUAUGGUAGUAAAAAAAUCAUAAAAUUUUUUUUUGAUUAAAGGACCUAGUAAAAGUACAUAUCGCCCGUCACUCUUUUGAUAG
rnacentral:rRNA from 1 species